CAAUUGGUGAAUUGAAUUUUUAAUUAGAUUAAAAUUUAAAUAAUUGUCUAAAUCCUCAAUUCCUAAUCUACCCAAAAAUAACCCAAUGCCCAGCCCAAACUUCCUCUUCUUUUCCCACUUAACCCAACAACCCACUUUCCUUAAACCAGCCAACUCCAGGCCCAAAAUAAGUCGACCCGGCCCAAUCCCCUUCUCUCCCCUCCCCUAAAUCAACGUACAACAGCAGCAACACAUCGUCAUCUUCUUCAAAACAGCGUAACAACAACAGCUUCAACCACACCAGCCAACUUCAUCGACAACAAACAACUUCAAACGGCAAAAUUCAUUAACAACAUCAACAACAACACUUUCAGCAGCCAACAACAACCCUAGCGAACCAAUUUCAAAUGACCCGAACCAACAACGUUGACCUAACCCGGCGCGAACACCAAAAUUCAACCAAACAAAUUCCUUGAAUCACGGAAAAGACGUCUCUCUUCACCUUAUCUCUGCAAUUUUGCAGGCCAAGGAGCCAUCUUUGUUGACCUUUUGCUUAAGAUUGAGUGUCUUCAAUGCCAAAAUCCAAUCCAAAUCAGAAAGGUCAGUCCAAAUCCGAAAUUUAGGAAUGUGUUUCUCUAUUUUUUGAAGAGGAAAAAUUGAUAUCUUCCCCUAUAAAUAGGGAUUGAGGGGGAGAGGGCAAGGUAGAGGAUUUUUGGGAAAAAACUUGAAGAUUCUGGAAGCGCAUGCUUCUAAUCUCACGUAACCGGAAAUCUUCGAAGAAAGAAAAGAAUCAAAAUUUGUCGAUUUGUUGGAAUUCCAGUGAUCGGAAUCGAGCUUAGGUGGUGGAAGUUCGGUCGUUAAGCCCGUUUGUCCCUGUUCCUGCACCAAAACAGACUCUCUUCCCUCGUAUUUCGUUGGAUUAAACCCAACUUGCAUCGAGUCAAGACCCAUAUCAAGUCCAAAAUGGACUAAUGCAUGAAGAAAUUGGGCUGCAGAUAUACAGCAGCAUACAUGGGACAUACAGUAAAAAAUGGGAGGUGAAGCUGGUGUACAGGUGGAAGGCUAAAAUAUAUGCGUAUUUGGCUGAUAUACAUUCCGAUAUACACCAGAUAUACAAAAACGCAGCAGCAGCGAAACUGAUAUGCAGUCAGUAUACAGCUGAUAUACAUUGCAGGGAAAUGGACUUAAAAGUCCAUAAAAUGGGAAGCCCAAAGCUGGGCAGCCCACUGAUGAGCCCAAAAAGGGCCCAAUCUAACUUUUAAAUCUCUUAUUCUCUUAUUUAUACUUGUUUAUUUGUACUAACUUAAAUUAGUUUUUUUUGGUGAAAACUAACUUUAAUUAAUUAAUCCAGUGCUUCCCCAUGUUGUUGCUA